rnacentral:tRNA from 1 species
GUGCCCGUAGCUCAGUUGGAUAGAGCAGUCGCCUUCUAAGCGACUGGUCGUGGGUUCGAAUCCCGCCGGGCACACCA